AACGAACGCUGGCGGCAGGCCUAACACAUGCAAGUCGAGCGAGGACUUCGGUCCUAGCGGCGGACGGGUGAGUAACGCGUGGGAACGUGCCCUUUGCUACGGAAUAGCCCCGGGAAACUGGAAGUAAUACCGUAUGUGCCCUUCGGGGGAAAGAUUUAUCGGCAAAGGAUCGGCCCGCGUUGGAUUAGGUAGUUGGUGGGGUAAUGGCCUACCAAGCCGACGAUCCAUAGGUGGUUUGAGAGGAUGAUCAGCCACACUGGGACUGAGACACGGCCCAGACUCCUACGGGAGGCAGCAGUGGGGAAUCUUAGACAAUGGGGGAAACCCUGAUCUAGCCAUGCCGCGUGAGCGAUGAAGGCCUUAGGGUUGAAAAGCUCUUUCAGUGGGGGAGAUAAUGACGGUACCCACAGAAGAAGCCCCGGCUAACUCCGUGCCAGCCGCCGCAGUAAUAC
rnacentral:rRNA from 1 species